GAUGAACGCUGGCGGCGUGCCUAAUACAUGCAAGUCGAGCGAACGGACGAGAAGCUUGCUUCUCUGAUGUUAGCGGCGGACGGGUGAGUAACACGUGGAUAACCUACCUAUAAGACUGGGAUAACUUCGGGAAACCGGAGCUAAUACCGGAUAAUAUUUUGAACCGCAUGGUUCAAAAGUGAAAGACGGUCUUGCUGUCACUUAUAGAUGGAUCCGCGCUGCAUUAGCUAGUUGGUAAGGUAACGGCUUACCAAGGCAACGAUGCAUAGCCGACCUGAGAGGGUGAUCGGCCACACUGGAACUGAGACACGGUCCAGACUCCUACGGGAGGCAGCAGUAGGGAAUCUUCCGCAAUGGGCGAAAGCCUGACGGAGCAACGCCGCGUGAGUGAUGAAGGUCUUCGGAUCGUAAAACUCUGUUAUUAGGGAAGAACAUAUGUGUAAGUAACUGUGCACAUCUUGACGGUACCUAAUCAGAAAGCCACGGCUAACUACGUGCCAGCAGCCGCGGUAAUACGUAGGUGGCAAGCGUUAUCCGGAAUUAUUGGGCGUAAAGCGCGCGUAGGCGGUUUUUUAAGUCUGAUGUGAAAGCCCACGGCUCAACCGUGGAGGGUCAUUGGAAACUGGAAAACUUGAGUGCAGAAGAGGAAAGUGGAAUUCCAUGUGUAGCGGUGAAAUGCGCAGAGAUAUGGAGGAACACCAGUGGCGAAGGCGACUUUCUGGUCUGUAACUGACGCUGAUGUGCGAAAGCGUGGGGAUCAAACAGGAUUAGAUACCCUGGUAGUCCACGCCGUAAACGAUGAGUGCUAAGUGUUAGGGGGUUUCCGCCCCUUAGUGCUGCAGCUAACGCAUUAAGCACUCCGCCUGGUGAGUACGACCGCAAGGUUGAAACUCAAAGGAAUUGACGGGGACCCGCACAAGCGGUGGAGCAUGUGGUUUAAUUCGAAGCAACGCGAAGAACCUUACCAAAUCUUGACAUCCUUUGACAACUCUAGAGAUAGAGCCUUCCCCUUCGGGGGACAAAGUGACAGGUGGUGCAUGGUUGUCGUCAGCUCGUGUCGUGAGAUGUUGGGUUAAGUCCCGCAACGAGCGCAACCCUUAAGCUUAGUUGCCAUCAUUAAGUUGGGCACUCUAAGUUGACUGCCGGUGACAAACCGGAGGAAGGUGGGGAUGACGUCAAAUCAUCAUGCCCCUUAUGAUUUGGGCUACACACGUGCUACAAUGGACAAUACAAAGGGCAGCGAAACCGCGAGGUCAAGCAAAUCCCAUAAAGUUGUUCUCAGUUCGGAUUGUAGUCUGCAACUCGACUACAUGAAGCUGGAAUCGCUAGUAAUCGUAGAUCAGCAUGCUACGGUGAAUACGUUCCCGGGUCU
rnacentral:rRNA from 1 species